GCGAAGCCUAAUUCUUGCGUCCAAAAGAACCUCUCUCAAUAAAAACGACGCUUGAUUUCUUACAAAUAAACUGGUAAAACACAAAAAACUUAAAAUCAAACUUACAUUAUAUUGUCUAGGUACAAAGGGGUAAAGGUGGGGAGGGGUGCACUUCUCAACAUCCAGUUUACUUCAGGGGAAGUGCAUAUACUCCAAGGCUCUUUUUCUCAGUACGUAGCGUUCCAUUAUUAUACAAUCACCGUAUGAUAAACGGCUAGAGUAACUAAUUCGG